AGCUUUGCGCAGUGGCAGUAUCAUAGCCAAUGAGGUUUAUCCGAGGCGCGAUUAUUGCUAAUUGAAAAGAAAUGGAUCAGGAGAUGUAUUUAAUAACUACUUUUAUGUGAUUUUUAGGCAUUCAGUUUUUCAAAGGAUUUCUGAAUU